rnacentral:rRNA from 1 species
UACGUAGGGGGCAAGCGUUGUCCGGAUUUAUUGGGCGUAAAGCGCGCGCAGGCGGUCCUUUAAGUCUGAUGUGAAAGCCCACGGCUCAACCGUGGAGGGUCAUUGGAAACUGGGGGACUUGAGUACAGAAGAGAAGAGUGGAAUUCCACGUGUAGCGGUGAAAUGCGUAGAGAUGUGGAGGAACACCAGUGGCGAAGGCGACUCUUUGGUCUGUAACUGACGCUGAGGCGCGAAAGCGUGGGGAGCAAACAGG